GCCUGGGUGGCUUAGUUGGUUAAGCGUCUGACCUCAACUUGGAUCAUGAUCUCACAGUUCGUGGGUUCGAGCCCUGCAUCGGGCU
rnacentral:tRNA from 1 species